GAUCAUGGCUCAGGAUGAACGCUAGCUACAGGCUUAACACAUGCAAGUCGAGGGGAAACGAUAUUGGAAGCUUGCUUCCGAUAGGCGUCGACCGGCGCACGGGUGAGUAACGCGUAUCCAACCUGCCCACCACUUGGGGAUAACCUUGCGAAACGUAAGAACUAAUACCCAAUGAUAUCUCUAGAAGACAUCUGAAAGAGAUUAAAGAUUUAUCGGUGAUGGAUGGGGAUGCGU
rnacentral:rRNA from 1 species